CCGAAGGCAAAUGCUUAACCGCUGUGCCACCCAGGUGGCCCAUGAUCAUUUCUUUUUAACAGAAAGAAGUCUCUAACUUUUGAAGUUAUAUUGUUUAUUACAGCUCUUGAGAUGUACUUGUUCUGGCUGGGAAUAUGGAUAGGAAUUCUCUGCUUCCUUUUGCCGUCCAGGGCUCAACAUAGGUUUCUUGGAUUAAAGGACAUUUCAUACCAACUCAAUGGAACACCAAGCCACCAAUUAGUGGUGGGUUUUGCCUUGUACCACAAACGCGAGAUAGAUAAUCUCCUUGGGGAUGAUUUUGCUCAUUCAGAUUCACUCAGACGUAACUUAUUUGAGUUUGAACCUUGAAAAGGAUCUCAGUGUAAACCCUCUGACUUAGGGCUAGACACUGGGAAAACAUUCUUAGCUCUCUUUUCAAAUUUUUUGUCUAAUCCUAAGGAUGGGAGUAGACCCAACCAAGAGACUGCUUUUUCCUUAGCCGAUGCUUGGCUGGGGAACACCCAAAUUGAAUGCUGCCUGAGAAACAGCUAUGUUAGUGGCUGCUAUGCUGUUGCUGGGACCUCCCCCAACCUGGGUUAAGAUACAAACCCUGAGCUCUGAGACCUGGGACCCUGGUUCACACUGGAACUAUGAGAUCACUAACAGGAAUCGCUCUUCUCCUAACUUUAGGUAUUAUGAGUGAUGCUAAGACCACACAGCCAAAUGCAAUGGAGAGUACUGAAGAAGAGCCUGUCCACCUGCCUUGUAACCACUCCACAAUCAGUGGAAAUGAGUAUAUAUAUUGGUAUCGACAGAUUCCCAACCAGGGUCCAGAGUACAUGAUUCGUGGUCUAAAAGACAAUGUGACUGAUGGAAAGGCCACUCUGAUCAUCGCAGUAGCUAGAGAGUCCAGUACCUUGAUUCUGCCGCGGGUCACCCUGGGAGAUGCUGGUGUGUACUACUGCAUCCUGAGAGAGGCACAGUGGCACAGGUGGGGCCUCCCCCGUACACCAUCUGCCUGGUGGGGGAAGGGAAGCAGCAGCCGCCAUCGCCAGAGGCCACCGCACAAGAAUGACCAGGAUCCCAAUAGAAGCGAAGUAAAGGAGAAAAGGGGAAAGAGUAAAGUGAAGAUAGUCCGGGAGUCAAAGAGGAAAGGAUAGAAGGAACAAAGAGGAUGAGGACGAAGGGCUUACGUUAUCAAAGGGACAGACUAAAGAGCUCACAAGGAAACUAAGACACACAAUUGUAAACCUGCAAUAAAGGGAAAAGGAGAUGAGAAUUUGCCAUAGUUCUGUGUCUUAAUCAAAUGUUGCUUUCUAUAUAGGUCUCCCUGAAAUAGGUGAGAACAACCACGGGGUUGUCCCAAAGACUUUCUUCAUUCAGACCCUAAGAGGUGCCCAGGCUCUGGCAUAUUAACCCUUCUGACUCCUCCAACAUGGGAAUGAAUUUCAGAGACUGAUUCAUUUGCCCUUGAAAAAAAGUUGCUUAUCUGUAGCACACACAUCACUGGGAUACAGACAAUUUGGGGGAAGGGAUAAAUAAAGGACAAAUAUUUGGAAUUUAAUCUCAUUUUUAGAAUUUAUGUUGAAAUAUGAUUAGUACACAUCAAAAAAACCACACAAAUCUUUUCUUAUUGUAAAAGACUCAAGUUAUUACAUAAGGUUAUAAAGUCAAGC